rnacentral:rRNA from 1 species
AGCGAACGCUGGCGGCAGGCUUAACACAUGCAAGUCGAACGCCAUCUUCGGAUGGAGUGGCAGACGGGUGAGUAACGCGUGGAAACAUACCUUUUGCUUCGGAAUAUUCCCGGGAAACUGGGAGCAAUACCGAAUACGCCCUGAGGGGGAAAGAUUUAUCGGCAAAAGAUUGGUCCGCGUUAGAUUAGGUAGUUGGUGGGGUAAUGGCCUACCAAGCCUACGAUCUAUAGCUGGUCUGAGAGGAUGAUCAGCCACAUUGGGACUGAGACACGGCCCAAACUCCUACGGGAGGCAGCAGUGGGGAAUAUUGGACAAUGGGCGAAAGCCUGAUCCAGCCAUGCCGCGUGAAUGAUGAAGGCCUUAGGGUUGUAAAAUUCUUUCACCGGGGACGAUAAUGACGGUACCCGGAGAAGAAGCCCCGGCUAACUUCGUGCCAGCCGCCGCCGUAA